UCACUGGAUUAUUUAAUGCAUAGGCUAAUUGGGCAUAUAGUUGAAUAUCUCUGUCAUCAACAUGGAAUGUAUGACUUCAUCUUUUAUACAGUCGGGUUCGGGGUUUCGGGCGGCCAUGACGAAUUUCGGCAAGAUUUUACCCCAGUGAAAAAGGCUUGUAAUCCACAGUUCCUCAACCUGGAAGAUAUGUUUUGUUCCUAACCAUCUAUAAUCCAUUCUCUAUGAAGUGAAGCCUGGCUGCUCUUCCUUUGGAAAUACACAGUUAGUCAAUCAACAUAGAAACACACAAACUUGAAGGAUAUUCUAGUGAGGGCUUAUGGAAAUGAUCUAUGUCUACUCUCAGAAUGGUGAAAGACUAUCAGAUUAUGCAAAGACUAACAGGAUAUCCUCUCUUGGAACACUGAAAUAAGAAAAUCAAACAGGAGGUGGA